rnacentral:lncRNA from 1 species
GUUUUUUAUUAUUAUGUACAAGGUGCCCCUUUGCAAGGAGUACUUGACAGUUUUUAAAUGAAGGCUCUAUCUUUAAUACUAAAAAAGUUAUGCAAAAUUUACGAUAUUAUAAAGUACAUGUUAAUGGUGAAAAACCGAAAUUUCGAUUUUUUUCAAAAACUACAAUUCUUUUAGUUUUUUAUUAUUACGUACAAGGUGCCCCUUUGCAAGGAGUACUUGAUAGUUUUUAAAUGAAGGCUCUAUCUUUAAUACCAAAAAAGUUAUGCAAAAUUUACGAUAUUAUAAAGUACAUGUUAAUGGUGAAAAACCGAAAUUUCGAUUUUUUUCAAAAACUACAAUUCUUUUAGUUUUUUAUUAUUACGUACAAGGUGCCCCUUUGCAAGGAGUACUUGACAGUUUUUAAAUGAAGGCUCUAUCUUUAAUACCAAAAAAGUUAUGCAAAAUUUACGAUAUUAUAAAGUACAUGUUAAUGGUGAAAAACCGAAAUUUCGAUUUUUUUCAAAAACUACAAUUCUUUUAGUUUUUUAUUAUUAUGUACAAGGUGCCCCUUUGCAAGGAGUACUUGACAGUUUUUAAAUGAAGGCUCUAUCUUUAAUACUAAAAAAGUUAUGCAAAAUUUACGAUAUUAUAAAGUACAUGUUAAUGGUGAAAAACCGAAAUUUCGAUUUUUUUCAAAAACUACAAUUCUUUUAGUUUUUUAUUAUUAUGUACAAGGUGCCCCUUUGCAAGGAGUACUUGACAGUUUUUAAAUGAAGGCUCUAUCUUUAAUACUAAAAAAGUUAUGCAAAAUUUACGAUAUUAUAAAGUACAUGUUAAUGGUGAAAAACCGAAAUUUCGAUUUUUUUCAAAAACUACAAUUCUUUUAGUUUUUUAUUAUUACGUACAAGGUGCCCCUUUGCAAGGAGUACUUGACAGUUUUUAAAUGAAGGCUCUAUCUUUA